UAUGUGAGUAAGAUGCUCUUUCUGCACCUUGUGCCACAUAUUCAGCCCUGGGAACAGAUGUGCAAGAACAAGGCUUAGGUGGAAUUGGCACUUCAUAUCGUCAAGAUAAGGCAGUGUGGCUUUGAGCAGAGAACAUAAACAGUGUGGCUCAGCUCAGAAGGUCACUCCUCUGGGGGAAAAAAAAAGCAUGUGUGAGAACACCCAUUCUGCCCGAUUGCUGCUGCUUCUACUUGCUUCAGCAGUGGGAGAGAAUAGCACAUUAUGCCAGUACCAAGAGAUCACCAACAAGAACAGCAGCAGCUGUGGAGUGGAGCUAACCUGAGCCUGGGAGACAAUGAGCGUAAGGGGGGUGUCCAGGCAUUGAAUGCAGAGCAGACUGGAAGGAUGAAGGAGAGUAUGGAACAGGCACAGGUUAACUAACACCUGGGUAGAGAACAUCAAAAUAUGCCAUCCAAAUGAACACUUGUUAUAAGGAACAAGGAGAGAGAACUUCUCAUUCACCCCUGACGUAUUCAUGAGAGAGUUACAGUUUGGUUUUGAAGAAUGGAACAAAGGCAAGAACUGUGCAUAUGCAGAUGCGAUGUCAUUCUCACAUCAUCAAAACCGGGAGAAAAUAUUUAUGCUGCUGAUUUACAGAAUUCAAUCAUUUUGGUUUUGGAAGUCAAAGAGAUGCUCCCCAAAAUAGAUUAUUGCCAUUGUCCUUGGCUGCCUAUCAGGACCUGAAGGUUGGAGACCUGAUAUGAGACAAAAUGGCUGAAGUGGAACGUCUUGGAGAGAAGGCUCUUGGUCAUUACAAAGUGGUUGGCAGCAGAUGUCCUGGGAACCCCAAGCUCCUCACAAUCUCUUCGGCCUCCAACCUCCUAUGACCCUCCUACUUUCCUGGCACUGGAACAUGGAACACACAGCUGAUAGCCUCAUGAAGAAUGAAGACAUUUUAGGAAGGACAAAAUAUUUUUCUACAAGCAUGCCCACAAGAGACCAAUCCCCUUCAGGUGAGGGUGUGAAAGCCAGAAGUCAACAUGAUGCGGUAGGUUUCUAUCUUUCCACCAUGUAGGUCCCUUGUCUGAUACCCAGGUCCUCCAGCUUGGUGCCAGAGAGGUACCUGUUCUCCCUGGAGAAAGACUUGCCAUUUCUCUCUGGUAAGCUAAAGCUAUAGGUGCAUAUUUCAUGUCCUUGGUUUUCCUAUAAGUUAUAGCAAAUUUAACACUGCUUCAGGCAAGGUAUAGUAAGACUGAAAAUGUCUCUGUCCCCAGUUCUUUCAAAACUCUAGAACAAAAAAUCUGUUUUUCCUAUUUCUUUCUCUAUAUUGUCCUUUUUUAUAAAAGCAGUUGAGCGUUUGAACUCAGGGGCCGACCUUGUGCUUAGGACUCCAGUAAGAUGAGGAUUUAUGUGCAUUUCCUGCUGUCCUUGGAAAGGUUUUUCAUCAGACUUUGGUUUGUAGGAGUUUUGCUCUUGUGUUUACAGGAUCUCCCUAUGCAGAUCAAGCAAACCUGGAAUUCACAGAGAUCUGCCUGACUCUGUCUCACCAGUGCUGGGAUUAAAGGUGUCUAUGUUUGUGCAGAUGACUCAAAAUCCAGAAGAAGAGACUAGUUCCCUUUGAGCUGGAGUUACAGGCAGUUUUACAAGUGAUAUUGGAUACUGCCACUGUCACAAAGUACUCAGGAUCAAAAGAUAAAUGGGUAGAAUUAGAAGAGAUCACAUUGAGUGAGAUAAUCCAGAUUCAGAAAGACAAGGAUCACAUUUGCUCUCAUCUGUGGCUCCUAAUUCCAAAAUUUCAAGUGAAUGAUGGUGAUCAUCUGAAAUUCAAGCUGUACCGGAGGUUGANNNNNNNNNNNNNNNNNNNNNNNNNNNNNNNNNNNNNNNUAUGAGUGGCAACAAAUGUAGCCAAGGAAACAUCUGUGGAGUAGGAUGCCUAUCCCCCUCCCUUUUAUUUGAAUCCUCCAAACUGGUUUCUACAGUGGCUGCCCGAGUUCCCAAUGUGAAAACACAUGGACAUAAGCCAAGAAAAUCAAAGCAUACCUACAGUAACCACAUGGCUCCAUUGGCUGAAAUGAACUCUAUCGUUGUGUGGCUCAGAGACAGGAAAGAAAGGCAAUGGCAGUGCUUCUCUAAGAGAAAGUUCUCGGAGACAGGCCCCAAAGACUUGCUGGCACAACAGAAAGGAUGUGAACAUGAGGGCAAGUGCUUGAGGAGGACAGAGGUAUCACACACCCUGGACAUGGUAUUGCAGCCAGUUGAGAGCCUCCUGAUGUGGAUGCUGGGAACCAAGCUCAGGUCUUCUACAAGAGGAGCAACUGCUGUUACACACUGAGCUCUCUCCAGCCCUGUACACUUCUGUUCCAGGGUUUCAUACAAGCACGCAAUGUGUAUUGAUCAAAUUCCCUCCCUUCCCCGCCCCCAUCCUCCUCACCACUUUCCCUCUGAAUUUCAUGCGCUCUUAUUUUUAAUACACUGACUUCACUUACUACUGCCUGUAUGGACAUCGAUGCAGAACCACCUACAAGGGCAUAACUAGGCUCUCAGGAGCAGUAUCCUUGAAGAAAACUGUUUCUUUCUCCCCAAGUAGCCAUCAAUUUCAAUAGCUUCUCAGUCAGAGUGGAACUUCAGAAACAGCGAGGAUGACAUGUUUGAUCUUAUGCAGGGCUCGUGCAUGUGGCCACAACCACUGAGAGUUCGUGUGUGCAAUGGUGCUAUCAUAACUGGCAAAUAGUUUUUCACAGCAUAUGUCUACUAUCUCUGGCUCUUACCAUCAGUCUACUCUGUACUUUGAUUUUGUGCCAAUAUUAUAAAUGAUAGUCAGCAGUGAAUAAUUGUUGGGAAGGGUACUAAGAGAUUAGAGAUAGCUAGAUAAGUAUUAAUAAUAAGGUCACAAAAUUUAAAGAAUUGAAAUUUAAAAUGAAACUUAUAUUAGCAUUAAUUAUUUUAAGGCAAGAAAAUAUAUGAAUGUCAUCUAGCUUAAGCAUAUAUGUGUUUAAAAAUAUUACAGAAGUGCACUAUAAUAUCUGAGGUCUUCACAUUCCCUUAUCAGUGACUCAUUCCCUCAUCCAGGGCAAUUUCUAGUCCUUAAAGCCUCAUUCUUGGUAUUACUUAACAGACACACUAUUUAUUUAACCAUCCACCUUGUGGCUUUGCUCUAUCUUUUUUAUGUUCAGGUACACGAACACUUGCCAUUUUAUUACAAUUUCCCACUGUAUUCAGUAAAGUAGCAUGCUGUAGAAAUUUAUGACCUGAGAGCUAUAGAAUAAUACAUCAUUCAACCUUGGUAUGUAGCAGAGCUGGAGCAUCUAAGUUUCUGUAAGCCCACGCUGUCAUUUUCAAAAUGAUGAAUAUGCCUGAUAACAUUUUCAAGAGCAUAUCUCCAUUGUUAAAUGAUUUAUGUAUCACAUUUUUUAAAAUACAUAAAAACAUCUUUGUUGAACUG
ensembl:processed_transcript Platr21 pluripotency associated transcript 21